ACUAGUCGUCUGCCACAACAUUUCCUUAUUGAUUCUAAAGCAAUGCUCAUUGCGCUUCUCGACACCACCAUCAUCUCUGGAGACGAUCGAAUUCCUGCGUCACACCUCCUUCCUUUUUCUCUAUCUGUGUGUCUUCUGCUCUUUCUUUCCAUGUCUCUUCUCUUCUCUUCUCUGCUCUGCUCUCCUAACAACCUAACUCUCCGAACACUCUUUCUUACUCCUCUCUUUAUGCGACUUUUUCUUCCAUCAUAUAGCUCACCCUCUCUUUUUCUCUGUAUGUCUUUCUAAUUUCCCCUUUCUCUUUACGCCAUCCAUUGAUUAUCAUUUUUUCAUUAUCGCUUGUCAGUCUCUUUCUCUCUCUCUCUCUGUUACUCUUAGUAUUUAUCUCUCACACCCCUCUAUGAUAUUGUUUCGGUCUAACCCCGCUCUCACUUUCUUAUUUCUAAAUUUCCCCCUCCUUUCCCCUCCUAUUCUCCUCCAUUCUAGUAAAACUGCCAACCCUCAUCCCUCUUUUCCUUUUUACAUACUUGCAUAAAUAUAAAUCUAUUAUCUUUUCCUAACUCCUCCUCUUCUCUAUCCCCCUGCCUCUCAUUGUACCUCUAACUCUUCUGCUGUAUUCCUACCUCUCUUUAUUUCUAUUCCUCUCUACCUUAUUCACUACCUCUGCCUACCUCUAAAAUCACUUUCUCCAUCUCUCUCUGUCCUUCACACAACGAUCGUUUUUCCGUCCACUGGUCUGUCCCAGAUAUCUAUUGAUCUGACUACAGUCGGGUUUAUUCAGUAUAAAUCUUAACUUUGUUAUCCCUGACCUUCAUUCUAACGUCAUAGAAAAAGACUACCCUCGCAAUGGCACAAGGAAGAGUCAUUUUGAUAGCUGUUGAUGGCAGCAGCGAUUCCGAAUAUGCAUUCAAUUAUAUUUGAAACUGGAGAGCAGUGUCAUCGCUGCACAAAAAUACUGAAUAGUGUUUUACAGUUACCAGACUUACUUUUCAUCGUGCCAAAGUUGAUGGUGGCAACCUUGAAGUUUUGCACCUGACAGGGAGAGGAGAAUUUCUGGUGGUGUUUGGGUUGUUUGAUGCCUAUUUUCUGCAUCUGAAAAGAAGAGUUGAGUUGAUGUAAAUGGCCAAAGGGUUCAUGCACAUGGCCAGAUGUUCCCAUUUGGUCACCACACUGCUAUGAACAACAAUAGAAUGGGAAGCUUUUUUAUACAGAAUUAGGUUUGUUCAUUGAUUUGAUUGUCAUGUUUUUUGCAUGUUAUUUUUGUUUGUUUGACAACUAGAUACCCUUCCUAUCACAAAUGUUUUUAUAACAUGAACUUGAUACAUUUUAUUAUACUGCUACCAUUAGAGAGAUUGUUUGGCAGCAUUGAAAGAUCUCGUCUUAUUGCAUCAAUUUUUAAUCAGAAUUGCU